UACCUGCAGCUCAAGUGGUGAUCGUUAUUAUUGGGCCUAAAACGUCCGUAGCCGGUUUAUUAAAUGCCUGGGUAAAUCGGGCCGCUUAACGGUUCGAAUUCCGGGUAGACUGAUAGGCUUGGGACCGGGAGAGGCUAGAGGUACCCCUGGGGUAGAGGUGAAAUUCUGUAAUCCUAGGGGGACCACCAGUGGCGAAGGCGUCUAGCCAGAACGGGUCUGACGGUGAGGGACGAAGCCCUGGGGCGCAAACCGGAUUAGAUACCCGGGUAGUCCAGGGUGUAAACGCUGCUUGCUUGAUGUUAGUCGGGCUCCGAGCCCGAUUAGUGUCGGAGUGAAGAUGUUAAGCAAGCUGCCUGGGAAGUACGGCCGCAAGACUGAAACUUAAAGGAAUUGGCGGGGAGCACAGCAACGGGUGGAGCGUGCGGUUU
rnacentral:rRNA from 1 species